UCCCAGACUCCUACGGGAGGCAGCAGUGGGGAAUAUUGGGCAAUGGGCGCAAGCCUGACCCAGCAAUGCCGCGUGAAGGAAGAAGGCUUUCGGGUUGUAAACUUCUUUGACAGGGGAAGAGCAGAAGACGGUACCCUGAAAACAAGCCACGGCUAACUACGUGCCAGCAGCCGCGGUAAUACGUAGGGAGCGAGCGUUAUCCGGAAUUAUUGGGCGUAAAGGGUGCGUAGAUGGCAUAGUAAGUCUUUUGUAAAAAUGCUGGGCUCAACCCAGUAGGGCAAAAGAUACUGCAAAGCUAGAGUAUGACAGAGGCAAGUGGAACUACAUGUGUAGCGGUAAAAUGCGUAAAUAUAUGUAAGAACACCAGUGGCGAAGGCGGCUUGCUGGGUCGAUACUGACAUUGAGGCACGAAAGCGUGGGGAGCAAACAGGAUUAGAUACCCGCGUAUA
rnacentral:rRNA from 1 species